rnacentral:rRNA from 1 species
CGAAAGGGGUGCUAAUACCGGAUAAGCCCACGGGAUCUUCGGAUUCUGCGGGAAAAGAAGGCCUCUAUUUAUAAGCUUUCGUAUCAUGAUGGGUCCGCGUACCAUUAGCUAGUUGGUGGGGUAAUGGCCUACCAAGGCGACGAUGGUUAGCUGGUCUGAGAGGAUGAUCAGCCACACYGGAACUGAGACACGGUCCAGACUCCUACGGGAGGCAGCAGUGGGGAAUUUUGCGCAAUGGGGGAAACCCUGACGCAGCAACGCCGCGUGAGUGAUGAAGGCUUUCGGGUCGUAAAGCUCUGUCAGAGGGGAAGAAAUGGGUCGUGCUAAUAUCACGGCUUCUUGACGGUACCCUCAAAGGAAGCACCGGCUAACUCCGUGCCAGCAGCCSCGGKAAUWCAAG